GCUGAUUUAAUUUAGCACAACAUCCUCCAGGUCCAUCCAGGUUGUGGUAAAUGCCAUAAGUGACUGCCGGUCUAGAAAUGAUGCAUCCCACUGUGUGCAUGGCUCAAUUUGGUGCCUUGGCCAGCGCACUGGAAAUAAAUGAUGGAAUCAAUCCUGGUGGCCCACUGCAGAUGCCACCACAUCACAGCAUUCUGAGACAAGGCCAUUUUUCUAUAGCUCUUCUAGGAAGAAGCUUCUGGCAGAGCCCUUCAAAAUAAAAGCCUCCAUACCUGCUAGUGUUAUCGGUCUUCCUGAAAUUCCUGAAAUCUCUGAUCUCACCUGCCUCAGAACUCCUAGUUCAAAUUUAAUUUUUCACGUGAAUCUGCUGUUUCCCCACAC